rnacentral:rRNA from 1 species
AUGCACGCUGGCGGCGUGCCUCAUACAUGCAAGUCGCGCGAACAGACGAGGAGCUUGCUCCUCUGACGUUAGCGGCGGACGGGUGAGUAACACGUGGAUAACCUACCUAUAAGACUGGGAUAACUUCGGGAAACCGGAGCUAAUACCGGAUAAUAUAUUGAACCGCAUGGUUCAAUAGUGAAAGACGGUUUUGCUGUCACUUAUAGAUGGAUCCGCGCCGCAUUAGCUAGUUGGUAAGGUAACGGCUUACCAAGGCAACGAUGCGUAGCCGACCUGAGAGGGUGAUCGGCCACACUGAAACUGAGACACGGUCCAGACUCCUAGGGGAGGCAGCAGUGGGGAAUCUUCGGCAAUGGGCGAAAGCCUGACGGAGCAACGCCGCGUGAGAGAUGAAGGUCUUCGGAUCGUAAAACUCUGUUAUUAGGGAAGAACAAAUGUGUAAGUACUAUGCACGUCUUGACGGUACCUAAUCAGAAAGCCACGGCUAACUACGUG